rnacentral:rRNA from 1 species
AGAGUUUGAUCCUGGCUCAGAUCGAACGCUGGCGGCAUGCCUAACACAUGCAAGUCGAACGGCAGCACGGUAUGUAGCAAUACGUAUGGGUGGCGAGUGGCGGACGGGUGAGUAAGACGUAGGAAUCUACCUUGAAGAGGGGGAUAACCCGGGGAAACUCGGGCUAAUACCGCAUACGACUCUGAGGAGGAAAGGCUAGGGGCAACUCUGGCGCUUUAAGAGGAGCCUACGACUGAUUAGCUAGUUGGUGGGGUAAAGGCUUACCAAGGCGAUGAUCGGUAGCUGGUCUGAGAGGAUGAUCAGCCACACUGGGACUGAGACACGGCCCAGACUCCUACGGGAGGCAGCAGUGGGGAAUAUUGGACAAUGGGGGCAACCCUGAUCCAGCGAUGCCGCGUGUGUGAAGAAGGCCUUCGGGUUGUAAAGCACUUUAGGUGGGGAAGAAGGGAUAUGACUGAAUAGGUUAUAUUUUUGACGGUACCUACAGAAUAAGCACCGGCUAACUCUGUGCCAGCAGCCGCGGUAAUACAGAGGGUGCGAGCGUUAAUCGGAGUUAUUGGGCGUAAAGGGCGCGUAGGCGGUUAGACAAGUGAGAUGUGAAAGCCCUGGGCUUAACCUAGGAAUAGCAUCUUAGACUGUGUAGCUGGAGUGCAGUAGAGGGUAGUGGAAUUUCCGGUGUAGCGGUGAAAUGCGUAGAGAUCGGAAGGAACAUCAGUGGCGAACGCGACUACCUGGACUGAAACUGACGCUGAGGCGCGAGAGCGUGGGGAGCAAACAGGAUUA